rnacentral:rRNA from 1 species
GAUGAACGCUGGCGGCGUGCCUAAUACAUGCAAGUCGAGCGAACAGACGAGGAGCUUUCUCCUCUGACGUUAACGGCGGACGGGUGAGUAACACGUGGAUAACCUACCUAUAAGACUGGGAUAACUUCGGGAAACCGGAGCUAAUACCGGAUAAUAUUUUGAACCGCAUGGUUCAAUAGUGAAAGACGGUUUUGCUGUCACUUAUAGAUUGAUCCGCGCCGCAUUAGCUAGUUGGUAAGGUAACGGCUUACCAAGGCAACGAUGCGUAGCCGACCUGAGAGGGUGAUCGGCCACACUGGAACUGAGACACGGUCCAGACUCCUACGGGAGGCAGCAGUAGGGAAUCUUCCGCAAUGGGCGAAAGCCUGACGGAGCAACGCCGCGUGAGUGAUGAAGGUCUUCGGAUCGUAAAACUCUGUUAUUAGGGAAGAACAAAUGUGUAAGUAACUAUGCACGUCUUGACGGUACCUAAUCAGAAAGCCACGGCUAACUACGUG